rnacentral:rRNA from 1 species
UACGAAGGGGGCUAGCGUUGCUCGGAAUUACUGGGCGUAAAGCGCACGUAGGCGGAUCGUUAAGUCGGGGGUGAAAUCCUGGAGCUCAACUCCAGAACUGCCUUCGAUACUGGCGAUCUUGAGUCCGGAAGAGGUGAGUGGAACUCCUAGUGUAGAGGUGGAAUUCGUAGAUAUUAGGAAGAACACCAGUGGCGAAGGCGGCUCACUGGUCCGGUACUGACGCUGAGGUGCGAAAGCGUGGGGAGCAA